CCGACCUUAGCUCAGUUGGUAGAGCGGAGGACUGUAGUGGGGUUUCCUGGUAGAUAUCCUUAGGUCGCUGGUUCGAAUCCGGCAGGUCGGA
rnacentral:tRNA from 2 species